CACGCUGUAAACGAUGAUUACUCGCUGUUGGCGAUACACAGUCAGUGGCUAAGCGAAAGUGAUAAGUAAUCCACCUGGGGAGUACGACGGCAACGUUGAAACUCAAAGGAAUUGACGGGGGCCCGCACAAGCGGAGGAGCAUGUGGUUUAAUUCGAUGAUACGCGAGGAACCUUACCAGGGCUAGAACGCAAGUUGAUUAUGUGCGAAAGUAUAUAUCUCUUCGGAGCAAUUUGCGAGGUGC
rnacentral:rRNA from 1 species